rnacentral:rRNA from 1 species
UCNUGGGAUAACACUGACGUUCAUGCCCGAAAGCGUGGGUAGCAAACAGGAUUAGAUACCCUGGUAGUNCACGCCCUAAACGAUGUCGAUUAGCUGUUGGGCAGCAUGACUGCUUAGUAGCGAAGCUAACGCGUGAAAUCGACCGCCUGGGGAGUACGGUCGCAAGAUUAAAACUCAAAGGAAUUGACGGGGACCCGCACAAGCGGUGGAUGAUGUGGAUUAAUUCGAUGCAACGCGAAGAACCUUACCUGGUCUUGACAUGUGCGGAACCCUCCAGAGACGGAGGGGUGCCUUCGGGAGCCGUAACACAGGUGCUGCAUGGCUGUCGUCAGCUCGUGUCGUGAGAUGUUGGGUUAAGUCCCGCAACGAGCGCAACCCUUGUCAUUAGUUGCCAUCAUUAAGUUGGGCAUUCUAAUGAGACUGCCGGUGACAAGCCGGAGGAAGGUGGGGAUGGCGUCAAGUCCUCAUGGCCCUUAUGACCAGGGCUUCACACGUCAUACAAUGGUCGGUACAGAGGGUAGCCAAGCCGCGAGGUGGAGCCAAUCUUACAAAACCGAUCGUAGUCCGGAUUGCACUCU